CCGCAUGGCGGCAGCUACACAUGCAGUCGAGCGAGAACUUCGGUUCUAGCGGCGGACGGGUUAGUAACGCGUGGGAACGUGCCCUUCACUACGGAAUAGUCCCGGGAAACUGGGUUUAAUACCGUAUACGCCCUUCGGGGGAAAGAAUUUCGGUGAAGGAUCGGCCCGCGUUAGAUUAGAUAGUUGGUGGGGUAACGGCCUACCAAGUCUACGAUCUAUAGCUGGUUUUAGAGGAUGAUCAGCAACACUGGGACUGAGACACGGCCCAGACUCCUACGGGAGGCAGCAGUGGGGAAUCUUAGACAAUGGGCGCAAGCCUGAUCUAGCCAUGCCGCGUGAGUGAUGAAGGCCUUAGGGUCGUAAAGCUCUUUCGCCAGGGAUGAUAAUGACAGUACCUGGUAAAGAAACCCCGGCUAACUCCGUGCCAGCAGCCGCGGUAAUACGGAGGGGGUUAGCGUUGUUCGGAAUUACUGGGCGUAAAGCGCGCGUAGGCGGAUUGGAAAGUUGGGGGUGAAAUCCCAGGGCUCAACCCUGGAACUGCCUCCAAAACUAUCAGUCUAGAGUUCGAGAGAGGUGAGUGGAACUCCGAGUGUAGAGGUGAAAUUCGUAGAUAUUCGGAAGAACACCAGUGGCGAAGGCGGCUCACUGGCUCGAUACUGACGCUGAGGUGCGAAAGUGUGGGGAGCAAACAGGAUUAGAUACCCUGGUAG
rnacentral:rRNA from 1 species